UACGUAGGGAGCGAGCGUUAUCCGGAUUUAUUGGGUGUAAAGGGUGCGUAGACGGGAAGGUAAGUUAGUUGUGAAAUCCCUCGGCUUAACUGAGGAACUGCAACUAAAACUGUUUUUCUUGAGUACUGGAGAGGAAAGUGGAAUUCCUAGUGUAGCGGUGAAAUGCGUAGAUAUUAGGAGGAACACCAGUGGCGAAGGCGACUUUCUGGACAGAAACUGACGUUGAGGCACGAAAGUGUGGGGAGCAAACAGGAUUAGAUACCCUGGUAGUCCACACCGUAAACGAUGGAUACUAGGUGUAGGGAAUAAUAAAUUCUCUGUGUCGUCGCAAACGCAAUAAGUAUCCCACCUGGGGAGUACGGCCGCAAGGUUGAA
rnacentral:rRNA from 1 species